rnacentral:rRNA from 1 species
GACGAACGCUGGCGGCGUGCUUAACACAUGCAAGUCGAACGGAAAGGCCCUGCUUUUGUGGGGUGCUCGAGUGGCGAACGGGUGAGUAACACGUGAGUAACCUGCCCUUGACUUUGGGAUAACUUCAGGAAACUGGGGCUAAUACCGGAUAGGAGCUCCUGCUGCAUGGUGGGGGUUGGAAAGUUUCGGCGGUUGGGGAUGGACUCGCGGCUUAUCAGCUUGUUGGUGGGGUAGUGGCUUACCAAGGCUUUGACGGGUAGCCGGCCUGGGAGGGUGACCGGCCACAUUGGGCCUGCGAUACGGCCCAGACUCCUACGGGAGGCAUCAGUGGGGAAUAUUGCACAAUGGGCGGAAGCCUGAUGCAGCAACGCCGCGUGCGGGAUGACGGCCUUCGGGUUGUAAACCGCUUUCGCCUGUGACGAAGCGUGAGUGACGGUAAUGGGUAAAGAAGCACCGGCUAACUACGUG